GUAGCGCGUCAGCGUGGGCUUCCCGGAGCGAGUCGCUAGGUAACAGGGCUGGCUCCGCAGACCCGGGCCGGGGAAGCCCGCGCGCGUCGUCAGCAUCUGCGCCGCGGGGCGUGGGGGACGCACUGAUCCUCCCCUAUCGGGGCCUGCAGACCCCUCGGCUGGCUCGCAGACCCCAUCCCUGGAUGCCUUAAGGGUGGCUAUAGCCACCGCGGAGUUGCCCCUCCCCUGCGGGGACCCCGACGUCACCGCCCCCUUUUCCUCCCCCGCUGGUCCGCACCACUCUCGGUUCGGCCAGGUAGGCGACCCUCCCCUGCGGUUGCGGUGGCCGCCGCCGCCCUCCGAGAUCUUCCCGCCGAGCCCAGGCGCGGGGCAUGAGGAGCCCCUGGGUGUCGCCUGCAGACAACCCAGCCUCGCGCACACCUCGCCAGUCGCUGACAGGGACAUGAGCAGUAUGAUUGGGUUCCGGUGUCCGGCGGCCAGCCUCAGCCGGAGGCGGCCAGUGGGUCUGCGUUGCUUGGGAGAAUGAGGCAGGAACCUGCGGCUACCUCUCUCUCCUCCUUCUCUUCACCUUCCUCUGGCUCCCGCGCCCCGGACCCGGGCCGGGCUGUGGCUCUGCUGCGUGCCCUGCGCGCCCCCCACCUGCCUCCGGAUGCUCUUCUCGGUUAGCCUGGUGAGGAAGAUAAAGACAUUUGCAACCAAGAUGGUAAUCACGAAUGGUAAUGAUGAAGACCGGGGAGGCCAAGAGAAAGAGAGCAAAGAGGAGAGUGUGCUCGCCAUGCUGGGCAUCAUCGGAACCAUCCUGAACCUGAUCGUCAUCAUCUUUGUAUAUAUAUAUACCACUCUGUGAAAGGCCCCGAGCAGCCUCAGUGGCCUCGGGAUGGCCACGAGACAAGGGUCCUGUGUGUCCAUAUUUCGGUGACCACAUGCUGCAGGGAGCCGGCAGGCUCGAAGAUCACACACUGCUCCAUUCAUGUACCUUCGAACUUUCUAGCGGGUCACCAGAUGGACCCGUCCUGCCGUGAGGAGCAGACACUCAGUGAAGCACAAUGAAUCCAGUGGAACUCAUUCAGGCCGCUGGGAACUCAGCGUCUCCAGCAGGGGACCAGGCAGGAUGCCGGAAAGGCCAGUCUUCUGCACCAGCGGUGAGCACGCGGGCGAGGAGAUGUUUUGCCCUGGAGUGCUGACCACAUCCCACACUGGAAAGAGGAUGCGUGGGGUGGACGCAGCCUGGCUGCCCUCCUCCCUGGCAGCUCGACCGGCAGGACGAGCGCUAGGUGCGGUCCGCUGACAGGCAUUCCAUUCGUCAGAUGUUUCCAGCUGUUUGAUAUGGGAGAUAACUUAUUUUUUUCCUUUUUCAUUGGCUUGAUGUGUGUAUCUGUUCAUAUCGAGGUUUAUAAAUCUAUAUUUUUAAUAAAUGUGCUCUAUUUUUUAGCAUGAACCAAAUAUUUGGAGAGGCGCUUCUGGAUCCAUAGCUCUUUUUGGUUUUAAUCGCUUUUGUUCCAUCAGCUGCGAGGCAUCUUUAUCGUAGUCAUCGGGUUGUCUCAGCUCGUCUCAAGACUUGCUCUCGGGCGCUUCCUCCUCCCCAUCCCUGUCCCUCUGUUCUCUCCUCCAUCUCUAAUUCUCCUAUCCUUCCCUCCCCCUGCCCCCACCCCAUCUACUCUCUCCUCUCCUCAUGUCUUAUCUGGAGGACAUUUUCCCAUAGCACCAACCAGGGUCUUGGCUGGUGUGUGCUUCAAGAUUGUUGAGCGGCUUUUCGUUGUCCUGUCAGAGAUAUGAAACGAUUGUGGGCAUGCAGACCUUAGACUCACCCUGUCUUUCCUGAGAAUCAUGCAUGAACAAGGGCCGAGUGUCAGAUCAGCUUCCCGAGGUUUCAAAGGACUACCAUGGAGGAAGCCGAGCAGCCCUGACUGCAGGUCACCCUUGGGACGGACGGAGCAGUCACCAGCUCAAGUGCAGUAGGAUUCAUUUGCUCUUGUAACCACCAUUCGA